AACAUGUCAAAUUCUCCAUUUGAUUUGAAAUCCAGCUUGAUUUUUUUCCCACUUUCUUAAUCGGGGGCCGUAACUUUGCAUUCUACCUGAGAUGCAAACAUACUGUUUAUUGUACGUGAACCUGAGACAGGGCUUAAAUUAAACUGUCAAGUUCAAAUAAAAGAAAUCAACCAGUAACACUGUUGCACUAUCAAACAGGGGGCACUAAUAAAUCAAUGACAACAACAAACUACAAAACUGAAACCGAACCCAGUUCACAUCUCAAAACUAGUUGUUAUAUUUGGACAUUUUCAAUGAAACCUUUUUCGACUUGCUGUACAAGAAACGGAUGAUAAAUAUAGAUUACUGGCGUAACCACGUCUCCCCAUCGACCAUCUAUCUGAAGUCCUCAAACGCCUAGUAGAGUGGAUUAAACCACAUUAAUCACAUUUAAAACAGGUCUAACAUAACAAGUUGAACAAAAUGUACAUCGUCCCAGUCUAAAUACCACAAAUUAGUAUACUGAUGUCAUGUCUCUCACGUACGCAAAAGAGGAGAAGGGAUGUCUGAAAUCCUGUUCAGAAGCUGCCAGACCAAAGCUAAAUGAUGCUCACUAGUUAAGCACAAGCCACACAACUGUAUAUCUCAACUGCAACGGUAACCAUCAAGCUGCAAGACAUUCCCUCGGAUUUGUAUUCUAAGUAAAAACAAAAGCGUCCAAAGUGUUUCUCAUGGUUAAUGCACAUACUCUAAAAUGUCUCACAAACAAGAGUGUGUUUUCCCCCUCAACCUCGCCGUUUUAUUUACACACUGAGGUUGGUUUCAGCAGGGUCUAAACUAUGGCAUCUAACUUCACUUACACUACAGCGAGAGUCAUGAGGAAGUGAGAAGAAAUACUUCUCUUUAGGGAAAAGUACUUUAGACAGCUUAUCCACCUUAUAUUAUGUACCCUCAACGGGUGCUACGUUUGUAGCUAGGCUUCAGUGAAAUGUCUAAUGUGUUGGUUCACAGGAGCGAAGAGAGCUCCUUUUUGUUUAGCGUCAUGUGUUGACAACGACUGUAAAUAUAGGGGGAAAUCCACGUUAUCGGGUAAUUACAUCACAGACUGUUUUCCUAAAAUAUUUGGAAUGUUAUUAAAAGCUUUUUUCUUAUAAAGACGGUUUAUUUCACUUUCCAUUCAAACUAACCACAUUUCAAGCCCAGGACUGCUGAGCAUAAGCAGGAACCCGGAGGAGCAACUCACAGCAAUUAUAAACAAUAAAGCACACAUUGUUUACAAGAGGAAAUUAUCUUGCUGUGGUGCUUUUUCGCACCAUGUAGUCUAUGAUAUUU